rnacentral:rRNA from 1 species
GGACCCGCACAAGUAGUGGAGCAUGUGGUUUAAUUCGAAGAUACGCGCAGAACCUUACCAACACUUGACAUGUUCGUCGCGACUUUAAGAGAUUAAAGUUUUCGGUUCGGCCGGACGAAACACAGGUGCUGCAUGGCUGUCGUCAGCUCGUGUCGUGAGAUGUUGGGUUAAGUCCCGCAACGAGCGCAACCCUCACUUUUAGUUGCCAUCAUUAAGUUGGGCACUCUGAAAGAACUGCCAGUGAUAAGCUGGAGGAAGGUGGGGAUGACGUCAAGUCCUCAUGGCCCCUUACGUGUUGGGCUACACACGUGCUACAAUGGUGGGGACAACAGGUUGCCCAACCCCGCGAGGGU